UGGUUUUGCCCAAUCAGCUUUGCGCGCCCGCACCCAAUCACCUGUGUCUCACCCCACUCCCACCCCAGCCGCCAAACGAACCCUAGCCAUCUUUCUCCUUCCCCUCGAUCCCCACGAGCUGCCGCACCCCUCCCUCGAUCCCUAGUUCCCCAUGAUCCUCUCCUAGCCCGUAGCCACCGGCCUUGUCUCUCCACUCGCCUCCUCCUUUCCUCUACCAUGUCGUCGUCGAUCCCACCGCCGGCCUUCUCCUCUGCUUGCCUCCUCCGGUCCUCUUCCAUGUCGCCGUCGAUCCAGAUCGGACCCUCUCCUUGCGCGCCCCGUGUUCCUCCUUCCAGCCGAUUGGGCAUAGCCGCACCAACCCUAGCCCCCGAUGCAGCCAUCCACUCCUCCCUCCUCCUCCCCCUCCCCUUCCCACAGCCGCCGCACCCGUCGCUUGCCCCCCUUGCGACGCCCGGGUCGGGGCUGGGAAGAAGGUCCGGGCCUGCGAGGGAAAGUAGCGAGGGUUGGUGCAGCGGCAAAUGCGGGCAGGAUUUGCGUGGAGGGAGGCUCGUCAGCCGGAACAACAGGAGCAAGGAGGUCGUGCAGGCGCGAAUGCUGGCGGGGUUGGCCAUGGAAGAAGGCUCGCUGGACGGAGCAUCAAGAGCAGGGAAUUCGAGGGCGUCAUGCACCACGAGGAGUAGAUCGAGCGUGGACCAUAGCAGCAGGAUCAAGGAGCUGCUGGUGGUUCUGGCAACAAGGAGGAUGAUCAAGAAGGAUUGGGGAACACCAGCAAAAAAAGUACUGGGGAAGACGGGCGGGACGAAGGCAUGGAGCUCGUUGUUUGGCGCCAACGUGCGUUUGGUGUUGAUUGCUGGCUGGCCGACUGCGGUGUGCUACUGGCGAUGAGAUCCAAGAGGAGGUGGCGGCGGACAGGGAGUCGAGGACCUUUUUGCUUGCAUUCUCGUGUCUUUUGGCAAGGAGAAAAUUAUCAUUUGGAGGGGAAAAGACAGGUGAAAACAUGCAAGAUAGUAUAUGCAAUUGACAUACCCUUCAGUUCUUGAAUCAGAGUCCAGUGGUGAAGAACACUACAAUUUUUUGGUUGAUGGAUUGGUCUGAAUAUAUUGUAAGGGAUUUUGCAUGAAGUGGUUAUUCAAAGAAUGGAACCAAUUUUAUGUGAAAAAUACUAUGAUUAAAGCAUACACGAUUUUACUGAAUGGAUAUGGUAUAACCUCCAUGAUAUUUGAAUGGUCCAGAAUCAAGACGCCCUGAGAAUUUUACCCUUCGAUGAACAAUGCAAGAUUUUGCCUAUUCUCUGAGAUGGAUGAUGAUGAGCGGUGCAACCGAAAAUUCAGAGCUGGGCUUUACACACUUCAGUGGGAGUAGCAUGACAACACCAAGGUAGAGACCUGAAGAGAAGCAAGGGGAUGGACCAAGGAAACUAGAACUGUGUUGUCGUGAUGUGGGUCGUGUCGUCUUCGUCCAUCUCCAUGGAGGCAUAUAUACAUAGGUUAGGUAUAGGAAAGGAGACCGUCUCCAUGGAACUCUGACUGAUGUGUAAUGUCCUCAUAGGACUGGACCGUUUACAGAGGGAGUACUUGAAAAUAAAUUCUUUAUAUAUUGUUUAGUUCCAUCAGCCGAAUAACCUAAAUUAGCAAUUAGGUAUCUAAACAGUGGAGUGUAACCAUUGUGCUUGCUGCAGUUUUACUUUAGUGUUGAAA